GAUGAAGAACGCAGCGAAAUGCGAUAAGUAAUGUGAUUUGCAGAAUUCAGUGAAUCAUCGAAUCUUUGAACGCACAUUGCGCCCGCCAGUAUUCUGGCGGGCAUGCCUGUCCGAGCGUCAUUUCAACCCUCGGGACCCUUCGGGGAACCGGUGUUGGGGACCCGUCCGCCGACCCACGGCGGCCGGCCCCGAAAUACAGUGGCGGCCCUGCGGCGACCUCCUCUGCGUAGUAGCGAUACCUCGCAGCUGGAAAGCGGCAGCGGCCACGCCGUAAAACCCCCACUUCUAUGGUUGACCUCGGAUCAGGUAGGAAUACCCGCUGAACUUAAGCAUAUCAAUAAGCGGAGGA
rnacentral:misc_RNA from 1 species